GGGGAUAGAGUCGAAGGAACGGAUUGUGGUAUGCUUUUUGGUAUUUCGGGAUCUCAUUUAGUUUCUAAUUCAUGAGAUUAGUGGUCUUGGCUUCUUGAUGAUUCGGGUACGUUUUUGGUCCGCAUCUUAAAAUAAUGAUUUGUACUAAAAAGGUUUGGGCAGCCGGGUAAUGCUAUUCAUUGGAACAAAUGGGUUCCUAUGAAAGUGGGCAUUUUGUCAUGGAGGGAAAAGGCUUCCAAGGAGGUGUGCUUUAGCAUGUCGAAACGUUAAUCUGGCUUCCACGAUCUGCCCUGUGUGUAGUGAAGCAUCGGAGAUGGCUGAGUUUAUCUAUAUAACUAUAUAAAGCCCUGUGUGGAAGUGGCGGCUCGGUUGUCAAGGUUGUUGUGUUGGAUAGUGGUGGUGUCAGUGGAGGUUGGUUGUGGUGGUGGUGGUGAAGGCAACAACAGUGGAUUGAACACUGGCGACGAUGGCAAAAAAGGGUUCUGGCGGGUAUUUUGGUUACCAGGAAAUUUGGCACGAUCUGAUCUUGAUUUUUAGACCGAAAUCGAAGCUACACGCCCUCUGGAAUCACACUGUUAGCCAUAAAACCAAAGUUGCAAGUGAUCGGAACCUCACACACACUGUUUUCACAGUGUUAUCACGGUCAAUCCCUGAUGCUGCUAGACCGGUACAUGAUGCAAUCUAUGGCGCUGUUGACGUUUACUUGAAAGAACACCCGACGUUAACGGAAGUCGAAAGGAAGAAAGUUUGUGAGUUAAUUGAUGUGAAAAAGUUGUCAGCAGACGCGUCCAUACACGCUGCACAGAACGAUCGGCUUCUGCUGCGAAUGGUGGUGCAGAUCCUGUUUCACGAGCAGGUUCGAGCCACUACUGUGAUCAAAGAGGCAGCACGUGGCAACCGGGCGCUGGAACAAGACUGGGAGAUUAAAAUGCCGCUGCGUUCUAAGUAGCUAAGAACACCUUCACGGAUGAGGUUUACGGAUGGGGAUGUGAAGGAGGUGUCGAGUGGUGGUAGCAUGCGGUUGCUGCCAUCGAGUUCACGGAGGUUUUUGGAUAGGUUUUGGGUGGUGGGGAUGGGUCAGCGGCACGGAGAGACCCGGACGUCUGGUAGUUCGCAAUCUAAGUUUUCGAGUUCAUCGUCAAGGAAACAGAGAAACAAUAAUUUUCUGGAUAUGGAGGGUGAUACAUAGAGUCUUCGCAAAAGAGUGGAUAAUCUUAAGAAUUUAUAAAGGGGGUUGAUACUGAUGAUGGCUUUGACUUUAUUAGGAGAACGCUUGAGGAGCACUUUGGGCAAUGCGAAGAGAUUUCAAGCAUGUCUAUUCUUAAAGAUGUUGAAUUUGGUAGUUCUAAAGGGUAGGCUUUUUAUUCUCCUCCGCAAGCGUGCGUUCAUCGCCGGCAUGCACUAAUACAUCAACCACAACAAUUAUUCUGGCGAGAAUAUUUUCUUGUGACUAUAGGUUUGGGAUGUAGCAACUGGUACAAAGGAAUACACUUUUGAAGGUGAUAAUAAUGCUCCCGUUUAUUCCGUAUACCCUCACUUCAAGGAAAACAUUCAGGUAAACUGGUCGGAUGAGUGGAGCGGGGUCAAGCGGAUUGGAAGUCGCCUAAAGUGUGAAACUGUAUAAAAUCAAGUUUAGAGGGAUUUGAAUAAUUUUCUGUUUGUUUCGUCCAAUGUAUGCGUUUGUACAGAAUAUUACAGUUCAAAGUAAAUAAUAUGGUUUUGGUUGAA